rnacentral:rRNA from 1 species
GCAUAUCAAUAAGCGGAGGAAAAAGAAACCAAACAGGGGAUUGCCCUAGUAACGGCGAAGUGAAGCGGCAACAGCUCAAAUUUGAAAUCUGGCUUUCGGGCCCGAGUUUGUAAUUUGUAGAGGAUACUUUUGAUGCGGUGCCUUCCGAGUUCCCUGGAACGGGACGCCAUAGAGGGUGAGAGCCCCGUCUGGUUGGAUGCCAAAUCUCUGUAAAGUUCCUUCGACGAGUCGAGUAGUUUGGGAAUGCUGCUCUAAAUGGGAGGUAUAUGUCUUCUAAAGCUAAAUAUUGGCCAGAGACCGAUAGCGCACAAGUAGAGUGAUCGAAAGAUGAAAAGCACUUUGAAAAGAGAGUUAAAAAGUACGUGAAAUUGUUGAAAGGGAAGCGUUUAUGACCAGACUUGGACUUGGUUAAUCAUCUGGGGUUCUCCCCAGUGCACUUUUCCAGUUCAGGCCAGCAUCAGUUUUCGCCGGGGGAUAAAGGCUUCGGGAAUGUAGCUCUCUUCGGGGAGUGUUAUAGCCCGUUGUGUAAUACCCUGGUGGAGACUGAGGUUCGCGCUUCUGCAAGGAUGCUGGCGUAAUGGUCAUCAACGACCCGUCUUGAAACACGGACCAAGGAGUCGUCUUCGUAUGCGAGUGUUCGGGUGUCAAACCCCUACGCGUAAUGAAAGUGAACGCAGGUGAGAGCUUCGGCGCAUCAUCGACCGAUCCUGAUGUUCUCGGAUGGAUUUGAGUAAGAGCAUACGGGGCCGGACCCGAAAGAAGGUGAACUAUGCCUGUAUAGGGUGAAGCCAGAGGAAACUCUGGUGGAGGCUCGCAGCGGUUUCUGACGUGCAAAUCGAUCGUCAAAUAUGGGCAUGGGGGCGAAAGACUAAUCGAACCUUCUAGUAGCUGGUUUCCGCCGA